GCUAAAGACUGGCACGACGGCGCGGUAAUACGUAGGGUGGGAGCGUUAAUAGGAGGUACUGGGCGGUAAGCUGGGGCAGGCGGUGUUGCAAGACAGUGGUGAAAUCGCCGGGCUCAACCUGGGAACGGCCAUGGUGACUGCAAGGCUGGAGUGCGGCAGAGGGGGAUGGAAUUUCGCGUGUAGCAGUGAAAUGCGUAGAUAUGCGAAGGAACACCGAUGGCGAAGGCAAUCCCCUGGGCCUGCACUGACGCUCAUGCACGAAAGCGUGGGGAGCAAACAGGAUUAGAUACCCGAGUAGUC
rnacentral:rRNA from 1 species